UCACUUUCAACAACGGAUCUCUUGGCUCUCGUAUCGAUGAAGAACGUAGCGAAGUGCGAUAAGUAAUGUGAAUUGCAGAAUUCCAUGAAUCAUCGAAUCUUUGAACGCAAAUUGCACUCUCUGGUAACCCGGGGAGUACGCCUGUUUGAGGGUCAGUG
rnacentral:rRNA from 1 species